AUUGCCUUAGUAACGGCGAGUGAAGCGGCAACAGCUCAAAUUUGAAAUCUGGCUUCGGCCCGAGUUGUAAUUUGAAGAGGAUGCCCUUGGGGCGGGCUCUUGUCUGAGUUCCCUGGAACGGGACGUCGUGAAGGGUGAGAGCCCCGUACGGUUGGACACCAAGUUCCCUUUGAAGUGCCUUCGACGAGUCGAGGAGUUUGGGAAUGCUGCUCAAAAUGGGAGGUAAAUCCCUCUAAAAGCUAAUAUCCGGCGAGAGACCGAUAGCGGACAGGGUCAAGGGAGAAAGAUGAAAAGCACUUUGGAAAGAAAAGGAAAAAGUACGUGAAAUUGUUGAAAGGGAAGCGAUUGUGACCAGACUUGGUAUUUUGUGAUCACUUGCCUUCUUGGCGGUUUGACCCUCCGCUUAUCGGGCGAGCAUCCCUUUGGGCAGGGGGAAAAGGGCUUCCGAAUGUGACUUUCCUCGGUGGAGUGUUUUAGCCUGUUGCAGAAUGCCCACCGAGGUUCGCGCAUCUGCAAGGAUGCUGGCGUAAUGGCCCUCACCCGCCCGUCUUGAAACACGGA
rnacentral:rRNA from 1 species